AACGGGGGGGGCUGGCGAUAUUCAUCAUGGACUGGGCGUAUAGGGAUCGUAGGUGGGCUUAUUUAAUUAAAGGUGAAAGACUUAAGUUUACUUAUGGGUGUUCUUUAAUAUUGGGUAAUGCUCGAGUGUUGGGGAAGUAUGUGGUAUUCUUGGUGGAGAAGGUAACAUGCUGUGAUAUCGAUGAAGACUAACAGAGGCCAAAAGGCG
rnacentral:rRNA from 1 species